rnacentral:pre_miRNA from 1 species
UAAAUACUCCCUCCGUCCAGAAAUACUCGUCGGAGGAAUGGAUGUAUCUAGAUGUAUUUUAGUUCUAGAUACAUCCAUUUUUAUGCAUUUCUUCAACAAGUAUUUCCGGACGGAGGGAGUAUUUG